GACGAACGCUGGCGGCGUGCUUAACACAUGCAAGUCGAGCGGAAAGGCCACUUCGGUGGUCCUCGAGCGGCGAACGGGUGAGUAACACGUGAGUAAUCUGCCCCUCACUUUGGGAUAGCCACCGGAAACGGUGAUUAAUACCGGUUAUGACCAUAUGUCGCAUGGCGUGUGGUGGAAAGUUUUUCGGUGAGGGCUGUGCUCGCGGCCUAUCAGCUGGAUUGUGAGGUAAUGGCUCACCAUGGCCUCGACGGGUAGGCGGCCUGGGAGGUUGGCCGGUCACAAGAGGACUAAGAGAGGGACCAGACGCGAACGGUAGGCAACGGUGGGAAGCAUUAGCCAGUGGGAGGGAGCCUGAUCCGAAAGCGCCGCGUGUGGAAUGACGGCCUUCGGGUUAAAAACAUCUUUCAGUACAGACGAAGCGCAAGUGACGGUAGGUAAAGAAGAAGCACCGGCCAACUACGUG
rnacentral:rRNA from 1 species